rnacentral:lncRNA from 1 species
CCUUCUACGCGGCUCCUGAAACAGUUUAGAUGUUUACUUGCUUACACUGGUUUUUGGUUUCAGUUUCCUACCGCUGAAUAACUGCAGGAGUAAAGUUAGUGGUAAAAUAGGAGGCUGUCUAGGGACGUGAUUUCGGGGAAGAAGUCAGGCCUCGACGAGCCACCUUAAGAAAAGUGACUAGGCGGAGCACUCCCAGCUAAGAGCGGAAAGAUGAGAGAUAGAGGUGUGACUGAAGGCAGGGAUCCCCAGGCGCACGUGAGACCUCCGUAGAGGGGCGGGGCUUAGGGCUUUGCAGACCGGAGGCUUGUUCCGCGGAGGGUGGGGCGGUCUCUGCUUGCGCAUGCGCAAUGCCAGCCAGUGCCUGCGCGGCUUGCUCCAGCAAGGUAAAAUUUCCCACUGCGAGGCAGGCAGUGAUGCUGCGGCCGCUUCGCACUGUGGCUCCUGCCGACCGCCAGGCGCUGUUACAGUGGAUGCGAACUAACCAUGCAGCAGCAGCCGGAACCCACAGUUCACCUUGGUGCAUUCCUUUAUGAUGAAGACUUAUUGAUUCAUUAUAUGAGAAAGGAAAAAUGAGCAGAAACUACUGUAUGAUGUGCAGCUCACACCAGACAGCAACUUUAGGGUUAUCUUUCCAGUUCAGCAGUGCAACUCUAUGGAGUAGAAUUGAAAGGAGACUUUUCGCCAAUUGCAGGAAAUGGUCAUAAAAAAAUACCUGCUCACUGACAGAAUAAAGAUGGAGUGUCACUCUGUCACCCUGACUAGAGUGCAGUGGCACGAUCUCGGCUCACUGAAACCUCCACCUUCCAGGUUCAAGCGAUUCUUCUGCCUCAGCCUGCUGAGCAGCUGGGACUACAGGCAAGCACCGCCACGCCCAGAUCUUUUUUGUGUUUUUAGUAUAGACAGGGUUUCACCAUAUUGGCCAGGCUGAUCUCGAACUCCUGACCUCGUGAUCCGCCCACCUUGGCCUCCCAAAGUUCUGGGAUUACAGGCGUGAGCCACUGCCCCCAGCCUUACUUACAUUUUUAAAGAUGUUUUUUACCCCUUUUCAAAGGAAAAUAUGCAGACACACCCAUCCACAUACUUUCCUGGCUUGUAGCUUCUGUGGCCAUCAGCAACCCGAUAAAAACUUUUUGGCCAGGUGCAAUGCCUCAUGCCUAUAAUUCCAGCACCUUAGCAGGCCAAGGUGGGAGGAUUGCUUGAGGCCAGGAGUUCAAUACCAGCCUGAGAAACUAUCUCUCCCCCACAAAAAAAAAAAAAAAAAAAAAAAUUAGCCAAGUAUGGUGGCACACACCAGUAAGUCCCGGCUACCUGGGAGGCUGAGGCAGGACUCCUUUAGCCCAGCAGUUUGAGGCUUCAUUGAGCUACAGUCAUGCCACUGCAGCCCAGCCUGGAUAACAGCUAGACUUUGUCUUUUAAAAAAAUAAAAACUCUGAGGCUGGCCUGGUGGCUUACACCUGUAAUUCCAGCACUUUGGGAGACCAAGGCGGGCAGAUCACCUGAUGUCAGGAGUUUGAGACCAGCCUGGCCAAUGUGGCAAAACCCCGUCUCUACUAAAAAUACAAAAAUUAGUCAGGUGUGGUGGCGCCUGCCCUGUAAUCCCAGCUACUUGGGAGACAGAAGCAGGAGAAUUGCUUGAACCCGAGGAGCGGAGGUUGCAGUGAGCUGAGAUCAUGCCACUGCACUCCAGCCUGAGCAACACAGCAAGACUCUGUCUCAAAUAAAUAAAUAGAUAAAACUUUUUUUAUACCUUUUUUUUUUUUUUUUGAGACAGGGUCCCUCCCUGGGCUCAGACGAUCCUCCCACCUUAGCCUCCCAAGUAGCUGGGACUACGGGUGUGCUCCACCAACCUGGCUAAUUUUUGUGUUUUUUUUGGUAGAAACAGGGUUUCACCACAUUGCCCAGGAUGGUCUUGAAAUCCUGAGCUCAAGCGAUCUGCCCACCUUAGCCUCCCAAAGUGCUAGGAUUACAGGCCUCAGUCACUGCACCUGGUUUUUUGGUUUUUUUGUUUUGUUUUUUUUUUUUUGAGACGGAGUCUCACUCUGUCGCCCAGGCUGGAGUGCAGUGGUGUGAUCUCAGCUCACUGCAAGCUCUGCCUCCUGGGUUCACACCAUUCUUCUGCCUCAGCCUCCCGAGCAGGUGGGACUACAAGUACCCACCACCAUGCCUGGCUAAUUUUUUGUAUUUUUAGUAGAGACGGGUUUCACCAUAUUAGCCAGGAUGGUCUCAAUCUCCUGACCUCGUAAUCCGCCCGCCUCGGCCUCCCAAAGUGCUGGGAUUACAGGUGUGAGCCACCGCGCCCAGCCACACCUGGUAUUUUUAUACCACCUUAUGACUUUUAGAAACCUUAACAGUUUCCUUCCUUAAAGCUAUAAACAAAUGGAUUUGAGGUAUCUUAAAAUUAACAGAAAGGGAUUCUAGGAUUGUUUUUUAUUGUAUCUGUUGAAAUCCAACUAGCCUCCAAGGUUCAAUUUUUCCUUUUUCAUUUGUUUUUGUUGUUGUUUCUUUCUUUCUUUUUUUUUUUUUUUUUUUUUUUUGAGACAGAGUCUUGCUCUGUCACCCAGGCUGGAGUGCGGUGGCAUGAUCUCAGCUUACUCCAACCUCCUCUUCCCAGGUUCAAGCAAUUCUCCUGCCUCAGCCUCCCAAGUAGCUGGUAUUACAGGCACAUGCCACCAAGCCUGGCUAAGUUUUGUAUUUUUCGUAGUGACUGGGUUUCACCAUGUUGGCCAGGCUGGCCUCAAACUCCUGACCUCAAAUGAUCCACCCACCUUGGCCUCCCAAAGUGUUGGGAUUACGGGCGUGAGCCACUGCGCCCGGCCUGUUUCAUCUUUUGUACAGGGCUUUUCUCUGAAUCCUUGGUUUUCUGCUCAUGCUUAAGAAUGAGUAACAAAAAAGCUGAUUGAAGUUCUGAGUGGGGAUUGUUAACUGUGGACUUCACUAUUGAGUGAUCUUGCUGGGUAGUUCAUUAGUUGGGAAAUAUCUAGUGAAAUAUCUUAAGAUCUUUCCUUUUGGGCUGAUCUGAUUGCCUAGAAAAAACCUUUUCAAUCUUCUAGCUGAAUAACAAGCUGCAUACUGGGAACAGAGUGGUAGAGCAAAAGGGUUGAAGAGGCAGGGUUCUCAGCAUUCUGCAUGCAUGUUUCCUUAAUUCCUCAGUUUUCAGUACGUUACCCUUUCUUUCAGCGAGGCCUGGAAUCCCCUGGUUGUCUGGUUCAACCAUUUCCAGAGAAUAAACCUCUAUUCAUUUGCUGGAGUAGGAGAAAGGGAAAUAGGGAUCUGACUGCGUCUUAAUCUGACUUUCAGCCACAUUCCCUUAUUUUUAGCAUUUCCCCCUACUUCACCUGGUACCACCAAUUAUUAGCCUUUUGGAGAUUCUGUAGCAUAAGUCAGAUUUGAGUCUUAGCUCUCAAUACUUCUAUCUUUGAAAUCAAUUUUCUCUGGUCUCCUAAAUUCCUUAUCACUUCUCCUUUUGUUCUAACAACAAAUUUUUAUAUCUGUUAUUUCCUUUCCCAUUCUACCCAUCCUUGAAGGUUUACACCUUCUUUUAAAAACCCCUAUUCUGUCAUUAUAAUGGGGUUUCAGUAAUGUACAUACAUGUCUCUUAUCCACUGUCUUUACAGGCAAGGCCUAUGGAUUGAAAUUCUUUUUCCCUUUUCUUCAGGCUAGAGGUAAACUUUCCCUCAUUCAUAUCCCUGGUGUUGGCUUAUUCCUUUGAUGGCAGCUGUUGUAUGAACUUACUAACAUAGCUUUUCUAAUCCCCUUACUAGAUAACAUAUUUGAGAGUAAAUAUUGUGUCUCAUUCAUCAUAGUGUAUAUCUCUGCAUGGUAUCUUGUGCAUAGGAGGUGCCUAUUAAAUAUCGGUUAAAUUGAUUUGAGCUACCUUGUGGCCUCUGCAUUGUUAGCAUUCCAGAGUUCGCCCAGAGCUAUUCCUUUAUGGUUUUCCUGGGACCUUAAGAGCACCUCUGUGGGCUGCCAUAAUUAAUUGAUCCACCUGAUUCUCUUUUACCCUAUCUGUAUAGUUGUGGGAUGUGGGGGAAAAGAGUGAACAGAAAUGGAAAAGAAAAGGGGGGAAUUGUUUGAGAGCUGUGAUAGAUCAGGAGGUUAAUUUACAUAUUUCAUGUAUUUCAUACAUGUUUCAAAAGUUUGAAAUGAUUGACUUUUUCUUUAUAUUGAGUAAUAUGUUUACAGGCUCCAGGCCAACUUUAAAUUUAUUAUUUUAGUAUUCUUUUUUUUUUUUUUUUUUGAGACGGAGUCUCGCUCUGUUGCCCAGGCUGGAGUGCAGUGGUGUGAUCUCAGCUCACUACAACCUCCACCUCCCGGGUUCAAGCAAUUCUCCUGCCUCAGCCUCCUGAGUAGCUUGGACUACAGGUGCGUGCCAUUACGCCCGGCUAAUUUUUUUUAUUUUUAGUAGAGGCAGGGUUUCACCAAGUUAGCCACACUGGUCUCGAUCUCCUGACCUCAGGCAAUCCGCCCGCCUUGGCCUCCCAAAGUGCUGGAAUUACAGGCGUGAGCCACUGCACCAGGCCCAUAUUUUAGUAUUCCUAACACUGAGAAAAAAGAAGGAAAAUAUUUAAAAAUCGGACCACAGGCCAGGCAUGGUAGCUCAUGCCUGUAAUCCCAGCACUUUGGGAGGCUGAGAUGGGCUGAUCACCUGAGGUUAGGAGUUCGAGACCAGCUUGGCCAACAUGGUGAAACCCUGUCUCUACUAAAAAGCUCCAAAAAUUAGCCAGGCGUGGUGGUGUGUGCCUGUAGUUCCAGCUACUCGAGAGGCUGAGGCAGGAGAAUCGCUUGAUCCCAGGAGGCGAAGGUUGCAGUGAGCCUAGAUUGCGCCGUUGCACUCCAGCCUGAGUGACAGAGCAAGACUCUUUCUCAAAAAAAAAAAAACAGACCCCAAAACAUUUUGAAUAUUAUAUAUUUGUAAGACCGUGUGCUUAUUUGAAAAGAAAUCAUAUGAUACAAAGUAAACUUUUAUUUUUAAAAUAAAAGUUUGUUUUGCUCUUGAGCAAAUACGUUUUUUCUUACUAUCUUUCCUGUUGUCUGUAAGAUUUAUAGAUUGUAGUCUAAAUUAAUUUGUUUAGGUAUAUAGUAUUGGGAGGGGUAUUUAACUUCUAAGUUCAGGGAUAUGUGUGUAAGUUUGUUAUAUAGAUAAAGUUGUGACAUGGGGGUUUGCUGUACAGAUUAUUUUGUCACCCAGGUGGUAAGUGUGGUACCCUUUAGUUAUUUUUUCUGAUCGUCUCCCUCCUCGCAACCUCUAUUCUCCAAUAGGCCUCAGUAUCUGUUGUUCCUCUUUAUGUGUCCAUGUGUUCUUAUCAUUUAGCUCCCACUUGUAAGUGAGAACAUGUGGUAUUUGGUUUUCUGUUCCUGUGUUAGUUUGUUAAGGAUAAUGGCCUCCAGGUCCGUCUGUGUUCCUGCAAAGGACAUGAUCUUGUUCUUUUCUAUGGCUGCAUAGUAUUCCUUGGUAUAUAUGUACCGCAUUUUCUUUAUCCACUCUACCAUUGAUGGACAUUUAGGUUGAUUCCAUGUCUUUGCUAUUGUGAAUAGUGUUGCAUUGAACAUACAUGUGCAUGUGUCUUUUUAGGCUGUAAAUGCUGUUUCCCCCAUGGUCCAACAGCGACCCUGCCCAGUUUAACUCCCAAUUCAGGGACUUAGGCCCGUGAAACCUCCUAACCACCCACAAUCCUAGGUAAGGCCAACUCUGUGACCCUGGUCAGCAAAGAACAGUUAAAAAAAUAAAACCUGGCUGGGCGCAAUGGUUCACGCCUGUAAUCCCAACACUUUGGGAGGCUGAGGCAGGCAGAUCACAUGAGGUCAGAAGUUCAAGACCAUCCUAGCUAACACAGGCGCGGUGGCUCAUGCUUGUAAUCCCAGCACUUUGGGAGGCCGAGGCAGGCGGAUCACCUGAGGUCGGGAGUUCGAGACCAGCCUGACCAACAUGGAGAAACCCCAUCUCUGCUAAAAAUACAAAAAUUAGCCGGGCAUGGUGGCACAUGCCUGUAAUCCCAGCUACUCGGGAGGCUGAGGCAGGAGAAUCACUUGAACCUAGGAGGCGGAGGUUGCAGUGAGCUGAGGUCGUGCCACUGUACUCCAGCCUGGGCAACAGAGCAAGACUCCAUCUCAAAAAAAAAAAAAAAAAGACACAUAGCCCUCCUGCACAAAUAAGUCAAGUUAUCCUGUGCCCAACUUAUCACCAGACACUUGUAAGUUAGCUCACCACAACCUUGGCAUUAUCAGUACUGCACAAAGCCCUCUUCAGCAUGCAGCAGAAACACCAUUCUAUAAAAACUCACAGCAAGCCCUUGUCUCUUUGCAGUCAGCAUUUUUCUUGCUGACCUGCCUGUUUCACCCUUGCAGUGUAUUUUCAUACUCUAGUAAAUCUGCCUUUUUUUUUUUUUUUUUCCCCCGAGAUGGAGUUUUGCUCUUGCUUUCCAGGCUGGAGUGCAAUGGCAUGAUCUCGGCUCACUGCAACCUUCACCUCCUGGGUUCAAGCGAUUCUCCUGCCUCAGCCUCCCAAGUAGCUGGAAUUACAGAUGCCCGCCACCAUGCCUGGCUAAUUUUUUUGUAUUUUUAGUAGAGAUGGGCUUUCACCAUGUUAGUCAGGCUGAUCUGGAACUCCUGACCUUGAGUGAUCCACCUGCCUCGGUCUCCCAAAGUGCUGGGAUCACUGGCGUGAGCCACCAGGCCUGGCCAUAAAUCUGCCUCUUUUUUUUUUGAGACAGAGUUUCACUCUUGUUGCCCACGCUGAAGUGCAAUGGCGCGAUCUCGGCUCACUGCAACCUCUGCCUCCCAGGUUCAAGCAAUUCUCCUACCUUGGCCUCCUAAGUAGCUGUGUCACAGGCAUGCACCACCGCACCCAGCUAAUUUUGUGGUUUUAGCAGAGAUGGGGUUUCAUCACGUUGACCAGGCUGGUCUUGAACUCCUGACCUUGGGUGAUCACCUGCCUUAGCCUCCCAGAGUGCUGGGAUUACAGGCGUGAGCCCCCAUGCCCGGCUAAAUCUGCCUUUCUUUGCCUACAACUGUCUAAAUUCUUACCACCGGGGCCACCAGCCCAGAUAGACACUGAUCAUCUGCAACACCCGUCUGAUGGACAAGAUUGCCCUGCAGAGUUCAAGUCUGAGAGUUCCCCUAGAGCUAAACUCUCCUAUCAAAGUAAGUCGAGUCUAGAGGCAUGGCAGUCCCUGGCUGUGCUCCAUUACAGAAUGCUCCUGCAGCAAACCCUCUGGUCUCCACAUCAGGUGGCUUGCUGCCCUUACCACUCCUCUGAGCAUCUCUCUGCCAACUCAAGUGUCCAGAGUCUCUCUCUGUUGCCCAGGCUGGAGUGCAGUGGCACGAUCACAGCUCAUGGCAACCUCCACCUCCCGGGUUCAAGUAAUUCUUCUGCCUCAGCCUCCCAAGUAGCUGGGAUUACAGGUGAACGCUACCACGCCCAGCUAAUUUUUGUAUUUUUAGUAGAGACGGGGUUUUACCAUGUUGGCCAGGCUGGUCUCAAACUCCUGACCUCAAGUGAUCUGCCCACCUCAGACUCCCAAAGUGGUAGGAUUACAGGCAUGAGCCACCACGCCUGGCCUCUCCUGUAUUUUUUAAAUAAAUUGUUUUGUUUACUUUUUUGGAUAGGUGAUACAUUUAAGUGAUUUUUUGUUUGUUUGUUUUUUGUUUUUGAGAUGGAGUUUCGGUCUUGUUGCCAGGCUAGAGUGCAAUGGCACUAUCUUGGCUCAUUGCAACCCCGCCUCCGGGUUCAAGCGAUUCCCCUGCGUCAGCCUCCCGAGUAGCUGGGACUACAGGCAUGUGCCACCAUGCCCAGCUAAUUUUGUAUUUUUAGUAGAGAUGGGGUUUCUCCAUGUUGGUUAGGCUGGUCUCAAACUCCCGACCUCAGGUGAUCCACCCGCCUCGGCCUCCCAAAGUGCUGGGAUUAAAGGUGUGAGCCACUGCGCCUGACCUAAGUGAUUUUUAGAUGAAAAGCCAAACAAGACCAGUUACCAUAUAUUAACAUUUUAUAAUUUUUUAUAACCCAUUUAAAAAAUGUUUUUAUGGUCCUAUUUGAUUCUGUGAAUUAGAACAUAUUCUUUCAUUUUAUUUAUGAAGAAACUGAUUACCUAACAGUAUAAACCUAGUUGGUGAUGGAGCCAGAAUUUGAACUUAGGUCCUUUGACUCUUACAACUAGUGUUAUAAUUAUAGUGGGAAAAACUGAACUGGAAGUCAAAGAGCAUAAUUAUGACUAAGUGAAUAAUUGCUUCUAAAAGAAAUAUUGACAGGUUCAUGGGUUUUACUAGAUAAUAAGCAUCUUAUAUAAUACUACUCCCAUAAGUGGUAGUAUUAUACUGCUUUUUCUCCAAUUUUUAGAAGUGUUAACCUGUCAUGUUGUUUCACAACAUCAGUGAACCAAUAGAUACUUCUUAUGUGCUUGUAUGCUAUUGUAUCCUUGUUCUUGUCUGUGAAUUCAUUCUUCUUUAGGUGCUUCAUGCAGACAUCUGUACACCAGAUUUACUUCUGCAAAAUGCUGAUGCUAUGAAUAAUGCUUUUGAAUAUUAAUAAGGCAAAACAGACCAGGUAUGUUAUUUUAUCAAGCAAGAAAUUUGUCAUUAAAAUAUAUCCAGCAAGAUAUGAAAAGAGAUUAGUAGGUGAGAAAUGUUUUCAUGUUAAACUUUUUAAAAACUACUCCUCAAACAACUAUAAGGAGUAUAAUCUCCUUAUAGAGUAUAAGGAAAAGUGCUGUUUAUAAAAUGAAAACAAACCUUGUCUGAUUUUGGAAAACAUAGUAUCUAAUUUUUUUUUUUUUUUUUUGGAGACAGGGUCUCGCUCUCUCACACAGGCUGGAGUGCAGUGGUGCGAUCUUAGCUCACUGCAACCGCCACAUCCCAGGUUCAAGCAAUUCUCCCACCUCAGCCUUCCAACUAGCUGGGAUUACAGGUGUGUGCCACCAUGGCUGGCUAAUUUUUUGUAUUUUUAGUAGAGACAGUGUUCCACCAUGUUGGCCAGGCUGGUCUGGAACUCCUGACCUCAAGUGAUCUGCCCACCUCAGCCUCCCAAAGUGCUGGGAUUACAGGCAUGAGCUGUGACACCCAGCGUGUCUAAUUUUUGACAGAUAAAAUGAUUUCAUGAUCCAACAUUUCCUUAGCAGUGAGGGAUACAAUAAAAUACCAAUUCUCAGUGGGCCUUUAUACUUCUUUUUUUUUUUUUUUUGAGAGGAGUCUUGCUCUGUCGCCCAGGCAGGAGUGCAACAGUGCAAUCUUGGCUCACUGCAGCCUCCGCCUGCCAGGUUCCAGCGAUUCUCCUGCCUCAGCCUCCUGGGUAUGGGUAACUGGGAUUACAGGCACGUGCCACCAUGUUCGACUAAUUUUUGUAUUUUUAGUAGAGAUGGGAUUUCACCAUGUUGGCUAGCCUGGUCUCAAACUCCUAACCUCAGGUGAUCCGUCUGCC